UAUUAAUUGUUUCAAAAUAUAUAUUUUAGCCUUGAAAUUGAAAAUUCAAAAUUAAAAGCAAGCAUCAAAAAGGCAAUGGACAACAUUGAGCAGUAUGAGAAGCAACUGUUAAGUGCAAGUUCAGCAGGACCAUCAUCUCAGAUGGAAACUCAGUGGAUCUCAGCGUUACAUAUGGGGAAUCUGAAGUCUCCACAAUAGAAACUUCUCAGGACGAUUUAGAUGAAACCACAUUUAGGAGACAUAAUCAACUCUAUUUGAAAGAAUAAAAAGGUAGAAAAUCCUCAUCCAGUGUACUAACUGCCUCUGAAUUUGCAUCUGGAUCCCAUAUAUCCUCUGCUGAUGAGCUCAGUGUAAAUCAAUACUUACUUUGAAAACCAUAUGAGAAUAUAUACCAAUUUUAUGGGAAAAAAUCUAUGAUCUAAAGAAUAAUAAAACAUUAUUACUGGGCUGUUUAC